rnacentral:rRNA from 1 species
UCAGGGAUGAAACGCUGGCGGCGUGCUAAUACAUGCAAGUCGAGCGAACAGACAAGGAGCUUGCUCCUUUGACGUUAGCGGCGGACGGGUGAGUAACACGUGGGUAACCUACCUAUAAGACUGGGAUAACUUCGGGAAACCGGAGCUAAUACCGGAUAAUAUUUCGAACCGCAUGGUUCGAUAGUGAAAGAUGGUUUUGCUAUCACUUAUAGAUGGACCCGCGCCGUAUUAGCUAGUUGGUAAGGUAACGGCUUACCAAGGCGACGAUACGUAGCCGACCUGAGAGGGUGAUCGGCCACACUGGAACUGAGACACGGUCCAGACUCCUACGGGAGGCAGCAGUAGGGAAUCUUCCGCAAUGGGCGAAAGCCUGACGGAGCAACGCCGCGUGAGUGAUGAAGGUCUUCGGAUCGUAAAACUCUGUUAUUAGGGAAGAACAUACGUGUAAGUAACUAUGCACGUCUUGACGGUACCUAAUCAGAAAGCCACGGCUAACUACGUGCCAGCAGCCGCGGUAAUACGUAGGUGGCAAGCGUUAUCCGGAAUUAUUGGGCGUAAAGCGCGCGUAGGCGGUUUUUUAAGUCUGAUGUGAAAGCCCACGGCUCAACCGUGGAGGGUCAUUGGAAACUGGAAAACUUGAGUGCAGAAGAGGAAAGUGGAAUUCCAUGUGUAGCGGUGAAAUGCGCAGAGAUAUGGAGGAACACCAGUGGCGAAGGCGACUUUCUGGUCUGUAACUGACGCUGAUGUGCGAAAGCGUGGGGAUCAAACAGGAUUAGAUACCCUGGUAGUCCACGCCGUAAACGAUGAGUGCUAAGUGUUAGGGGGUUUCCGCCCCUUAGUGCUGCAGCUAACGCAUUAAGCACUCCGCCUGGGGAGUACGACCGCAAGGUUGAAACUCAAAGGAAUUGACGGGGACCCGCACAAGCGGUGGAGCAUGUGGUUUAAUUCCCAGCAACGCGAAGAACCUUACUAAAUCUUGACAUCCUUUUGACAACUCUAGAGAUACCACCCUUCCCCCCUCGGGGGACAAAGUGACAGGGUGUUGCAUGCUUGUUGUCUACUCUUGUCUUGAG